rnacentral:rRNA from 1 species
CACGCCGUAAACGAUGAAUGCCAGCCGUUAGUGGGUUUACUCACUAGUGGCGCAGCUAACGCUUUAAGCAUUCCGCCUGGGGAGUNGCGCAGAACCUUACCAGCCCUUGACAUCCCGGUCGCGGACUCCAGAGACGGAGUUCUUCAGUUCGGCUGGACCGGAGACAGGUGC